rnacentral:ncRNA from 1 species
UAUCCCUUGCAGUGCGUGCUAUUUUGUAAAGUUAUAUACAGACAAUGCUUUUAAACACCCGUGCAGCAGGCGCGCAAAUUACCCAAUCCUGACACGGGGAAAUAGUGGCAAUAAAUAACAAUACCAGACUCGGUAGUUGGAAUGAAUACAAUCUAAAUACCUUAACGAGGAUCCAUUGGAGGGUAAGUCUGGUGUCAGCAGCCGCAGUAAUUCCAGCUCCAAUAGCGUAUAUUUAAGUUGUUGCAGUUAAAAAGUUCGACGUAAACAUGUUCCGCAGAGUGGCAAUGACUUCUGUACAACAAGAUCUUAGCAGCAAUUCAUUCUUUUGCUGUACCACGAUUUUUAACUCACAUCAGAAUGGAAAGAACACUUGUUACAAUACAUAAAACUUUAUUCUGGCGAACCAGUUAACAUGA